rnacentral:rRNA from 1 species
GCCCGCUCAGAAACUCAAUGAAUUGACGGGGGCCCGCACAAGCGGUGGAGCAUGUGGUUUAAUUCGAUGAUACGCGAGGAACCUUACCUGGGCUCAAAUGUAUGUUGACGUAUUCUGAAAGGGAUACUUCUUCGGACAAUAUACAAGGUGCUGCAUGGUUGUCGUCAGCUCGUGCCGUGAGGUGUCGGGUUAAGUCCCAUAACGAGCGCAACCCCUAUCAUUAGUUGCCAUCAGGUCAAGCUGGGGACUCUAAUGAAACUGCCUACGCAAGUAGUGAGGAAGGUGGGGAUGACGUCAAAUCAGCACGGCCCUUACGUCCAGGGCUACACACGUGCUACAAUGGCCGGUACAAAGGGCAGCUACCUGGUGACAGGAUGCUAAUCUCAAAAGCCGGUCUCAGUUCGGAUCGGAGUCUGCAACCCGACUCCGUGAAGUUGGAUUCGCUAGUAAUCGCGCAUCAGCCAUGGCGCGGUGAAUACGUUCCCGGGCCUU